CCUACGGGAGGCUGCAGUGAGGAAUAUUGGUCAAUGGGCGCGAGCCUGAACCAGCCAAGUAGCGUGAAGGAUGACUGCCCUACGGGUUGUAAACUUCUUUUAUAAAGGAAUAAAGUGAGGCACGUGUGCCUUUUUGUAUGUACUUUAUGAAUAAGGAUCGGCUAACUCCGUGCCAGCAGCCGCGGUAAUACGGAGGAUCCGAGCGUUAUCCGGAUUUAUUGGGUUUAAAGGGAGCGUAGAUGGGUUGUUAAGUUAGUUGUGAAAGUUUGCGGCUCAACCGUAAAAUUGCAAUUGAUACUGGCAGUCUUGAGUGCAGUUGAGGUAGGCGGAAUUCGUGGUGUAGCGGUGAAAUGCUUAGAUAUCACGAAGAACACCGAUUGCGAAGGCAGCUUACUAAACUGCCACUGACGUUGAGGCUCGAAAGUGUGGGUAGCAAACAGGAUUAGAUACCCCAGUAGUC
rnacentral:rRNA from 1 species